UUUAGCUCAAAGUGCCCCCAACUAACUGCAGGAGCUACCACUCACAGCAUAAACAGCCUGGGAUUCUCCACUGCUGCCCCUGUCUCCUCUGCCCACAGCCCCACGCAGCUCCAGGUCUCACCCCUUGGAGUUAAUGUGAUGUUCCUGCUGCGUUGCCUUGUGCUGCCACAGGAGAAGUCCCCUGUAGGAUCCAGCUGCUGGCUCUCUCUGGUUUUUUUUCUGUCUGCAGACCAGGUAGGAACGUACUUCCAAAGGGUGGGCUGCGAGGGAAAGCAGGAAAGUGGAAAGCAGUCACCAGCCUGGCAUGGUUCCUCCUGAAACUUGUGUUUGUACCUUAGGAAACAGCUCUGGAAAUAGCAAUAAAGUUUGAUUUGCUACCUUUCCUCCCCAAA